UUUUGCCAUGUUAUGCAGGCUGGUCUCGAACUCAUGACCUUAAGCGAUCCGCCUGCCUCUGCCUCCCAAAGUGCUGCGAUUACAGACAGGAGUCACUGUGCCCGGCCAGCUUAAAACAUUCUGUUGAAGUGGAAUGUGGAAAGAGGAGGUUGCACACAUCCUAGGUGUACAGCCUGAGGCAGCUUCAGAAGAUGAACACACCACGUAACUAGCACCCCAAAUAGGAAGCAGAUCAUUAUCAACCCCGCAAAUCCCCCCACUUCAGAGAACCCUGCAAGCACCGCCAUGAGGAUAACCCUGAAACAUCCUGCUGGAGACACAUGACCUGUCCUCAGCACCACCAAGCCAGCCAACAGCCAGCACCAGCAGAAAAGGAAGUAAAGCCAUCUGAGAUCGACCCGUGGCCUCACCAGCUCUCUGAGGCCGCACAGACAAGCACAGGCAGGAAGGCGUCCCCUGAAGGCAGGUCAAACUUCCGACCCACAGAAUCAUGAGCCAAUACGCGAUUGUUGCUUUAAGCCUCUAAGUUUGGGGAUGACUUGUUACACGGCAAAAGCUGACUGGACACAGUGCCCCAUGAAUAGCUGUCGAAUGGAUGAGUGAAGGACUGAAUGUUUAGUCUUUGCCUAGGCCUUGCCAAUUCCUUCCCCUCCACCCACUCACCUCCCACAGGACCCGUGCCUCUCACCUUUCUCAUCACUGUCAUGGCUGGAGGCCCCAACCUCCACUGCCUCCCAGUCCUUGGGGCAGGUGGGAUGGGGAGGCUUCUCCCAGGCCCGGCUCUCCCGAGGCAGCAGCGUCUUGGUCCUCUCGGGCUCCAGCAGCCCCCGCGUCUGCUCAGGACUGAGACUCUGCAUCGCCCCAGGAAGAGGUGAAGCUUCUGAGACAAGCUUCUCUUUCUCCUCCCGAUCCAGGGUCCUCUCUGGUUCCCCAGGCACAGGGUUCAGAACCUGAGGACUGACGAACAUUUCAUCAUUCAGUGAAUCGUUACGGAGGGCCAGCAGGGGCUAGACACGAUUCUAAGCAUUAGAAAUGCAGUAGUCAUCACGUGGAGAUUCCUGCCCUCCUGGGGCUUACAUUCUAGUAGAGAGAGAAAGAGACAGGCAGGGAACAAAUAAAGCACGCAGGAGGUCAAACGGUAGAGAGAGCUCUGGAGACAAAGCUGGAAAGGGAAUGUUUGUCAUGGGCAGGUACACGCAGGCACACACACUCACAUACUCACAUAUACAUACUUA